AAAAUAAGCUGCUCGGUUAGAAAGUGCCGACCAAAGACAGCGCCAAGGCGCUCUGCUAGAAGAUGCUCGUCUAAAGGGCGCCGACCAGGAGUACUCAAAGCAGCCCCGCCACAGGGCGCCCCAUUGGGCGACCAGCUCGGCUCGGCACCCUUGCCGAGCCGAUGCCUUUACCAAAUGUUCAACCCCCGCCUAAAGUCCAAGGGACUUGACAACUCCUACGGCUUGCGACCUGCCACUAUCUCCAAGCCAUCAAGGCGUAAGAUCUCCGCAGGCGUUCGGCACGACCUGCCAUUAAUGCGUGAGACUCCCUUAAGUCUCCGAUGCACUCAGGCAUUUAAUGAACACGGCCCAAGACGAUCUCCGGAUCACUGAACCAUCAGAGCGUAUGGCUCUACCUGGCCGCCGGUUCAUUCGGUAAUAAAUGCACUUACCAUCC
rnacentral:lncRNA from 1 species